UUAUUUUUUAUUUUCUAAAAAAUACACAUACAAUUUGUAAAUAAACAAUUAUUCAAUAUUUAAAUACUCAUCUCAUUACAGAUUUAUUUCUAACACAUAAUCAUUCAUAUUAUUAUUAUUUACUUAGGUAUAUCGAAAAUUACGAGGACGAUGGCUGGCUCCUUGCUGGUAGGUAUUCUAGGGAAAUGUGAGUUUCAUUUAUUCAUUCAAUAAAGUCAAUGUCAAUGCAUAGAAUUCAUUAAAUACUAGUACUAGGGUCAAUGAAUGCAAUUUACAAACAGACGAAAAGGGUAGUCUCAUAUUUACCAUACAUACAUUAUAUUGACCAUACAUAUUUUUUCUUUAGGCUUUUUGCAAGGGAAGGUUAAAUAAUCAAGUUUUUUUAAUGAAUUUAUUACACUUAUUACGAUUCCUCAAAAUUAAUAAUUUCGACUGAUAUGUACUUACCCACCUAAUUAAUGCAGUUUCUGUUUACAACUAUUAAUUUUAUUAGUAGAUACUUGUAGGUAGGCAAGUGUUUAUAUUCAUCCUAAAGUUUUCUGUGGUGCGCCGCGUAUAAAGUAGAGUAGAUGAAGUUAUUAUGAUAAUCGAUGGAUUUUUACUAUUAAGAUCGAUGGAUGAACUAAUAAGUUAAAAAGGCUAUGGAGUGUAGAGGUAAGGAAAACGAUCUCAUAUGGGGGGUAAGUUAAAAAUUGUUAAAAGGGAUUUAAGUAUGCAGAGUUAUGAACUUUUUCCUCCGAGAUCGUGCUCCUUACCUCUAAACUCCAUAUUUUGUUAGAGCCACAAACAAUUUUUAACUUUUUACUUCUGUAAUUAUUUGUCUCUAUGUAUUUAUUACAAGAAUCAAUAAGUAUAAAUUAUUUUGGAUAUGGCAUUAUGCUAAUUGGUACCUGUAGGUAUUAGGUAAUAGAUAACUUCGUUAGGUUGGUAUUAUUAUAAUAAUCGUUCGACAAGGCUCUUUUGACACUUGAGUGAGGGUGCAGUUGUCGCUCUAAGAGGACACAGCAAACUAUCAACAAGUCUUCGAUCAUAACAAGUGCACUUCUCUAAAUGGCGGCUGUAGCAGCUGUAGUUCCGAUUUUGGCUACGCGCCAAAAGAACCUUGUCGGACUGUACCUUCUAACUUAUUCUUGACUAGAAUAAUUAGGUACCUAUUCUUUGUUUGCCACAAACAAAACAAGUUAGCAAUUUUAAAUAAAAAAAAAGCAUUUGUUUUAACAAACAGGUAUUUUAUGAUGUAGGUACUUUUUACACUUUGGCACAAAAUAGGUAUAACAGUUGAAUAAAUAAUUAACAUUUGAAACUGAAUCAAGUGAAGGCCUUCUGUUAACUUAUUUGAUUCAAACACCUACUUAAUUUGCGUUUUAAUAAAUCUGAUUCGGUUAAAAAUAGGUAGUUAGCUAUUUCAUGUAGGUAUAAAAACCUGAUCUUUAUAAGUUGAUAGUGGGCAAAAACAACCUCUUACAGCAUAGGUACUUACACAAUUGAAAAAUGUAAACACUGCCUAUAGGAAAAUCCACAACAGAACUCCUGAAAACCAAUUAGUUACCUAGAGUGUUUUUAAUAUAUAAGUAAGUACUUAUGUUUAAACGUGUCAUUUAUCUGUAUAAUUUUAUUAAAAUAAGUAGGUAUUUUUUAAUUCCUUAUGUAGUUAUAAAGAUAUAUCUUACUAACGGCGACGUUCUUAUUUUCAAUAAAAAUUUAAAAUGAUGGCAAGUACCUAAAUUAUUUUCAAAUUAUCAUUAUCAUAAUUUAAGUUCAGUGAUAGUUGUGUUGAUCAAUGUCGAAAAAAUAGUAUCUAAGUAACAAUUUUAGAAAUCCACUUUAAAAUAAAAUAUUUUAUAAAGCUUUUGAAUCUGAUGGAUAGUUGGCAAACGCAAAGAAUUUUAAAUCAAAUCAAACUCCUCGAUAAAAUAACAAAAGGCAAGUUGUCACUAUAGUUGUAGAUGAGAGCGUACGAGGACGAUAGCGAGAUGUUCCGCCUACGGCACCACUUGUUUCAUAUUUUCCUACUGUUAAAUAAAAACAAAAUAAAAUAAUAUAUCAUCAUUAUUUUAUGGUAGGUAAGUAGUUAGGUAGGUAUAAUAAUAUAAUGUUUUAGUUGAACUAAUUUUAAAUAAACUUUUCCUUAAGUAUAAGUAACGGCUUCCGUAAUUUAGGAAAGACAAACAGUAAACUCAAUUUUUAAAUUUUAAGAAAUCAAUUUAUAACUUAAAAGCCAGAUUAGGAAGACACACAAAUUCCUUAUCUAUGUAAGCUCGACCAAUAUUUUGUUAUUUUUCGGUGGAAUUAAUAUUCAUUGAAAAAUAAGAACACAUAAUUAUUAUAAUAAAACAGGACAAGAAAUUAAAAAUACAUAUUAUUAUCUAACUAUGUAAAACCAUAACAAUUUUUUUUUAAAACUAUUAUUUUAUUAUCAUGAUUUAAGUUCUUAUUUAGACGACAUUUAAGUAGUAAGUAAGUAUUAAGCCAUCUAGUUAUUUGGUUCCAUUUAACAUUCACUAUGAAAAUAUACAUUCAUAUCUAACUAUCAAUUAAUUAUUUACAGUUAAAUAUUUACAUCUGAUAAUGAAAGAUUCUUACAAAAUACUUCUUUGUUACGUUGAAUGCGGUAAGGAUACUAGGUAAAAGGUAGUUAGGUAUCUAAUUCGUAAACAUCAAUUUUACAAUAAUUGAAAUAUUAUUCAUUAUUAAGAUAUAAACUGUUUGUGAUAUUUGUAAUCUUCCAUCUUAAUUUCUUUUAUUAAAAUAUACUUAGUGCUUCAAAGAGAAAGAGUAGGUUGGUAUACCUAUUAUACUUAGUAUCCUAUAACAAAAUAGGUACCUAGGAAAUCAAUUUGGGGCAUACAACUGUCACUGUUUUUAUAAGAAAAAUAAAGAAUCUGCGGACCCAGACCCUUACCAAAUACCAACCGCUAUGUAUACCUCCUCCAAAAUAGCAACUAAAGUCUAAAUCGUAAUUAGUGGUCGAAGAAAGCUUUGUGUUGAAUUUUAAAGAAAUAGAUAUGUAAGUAGGUAAUUGAGUUGUUUUGAAAAUUGAAUACAAUUUUUCUUUUUGAAGUUAUUAUGCAAUAGUGGGUUGCAGUAUACCAGGCUACAAUAGCCGAAGCGAACGUAGAA